AUUCCAGCUCCAAUAGCGUAUAUUAAAGUUGUUGCGGUUAAAAAGCUCGUAGUUGGAUCUCGGCGGGCAGGGGGUGGUUCGCUCUUCAGCGCUACUGCCCCGCUUUGCCCGUGUGAUUGGCGGAGGUUUCGGGGUGCUCUUCGUUGAGUGACUCGGAGCGCCGUCAGGUUUACUUUGAAAAAAUUAGAGUGCUCAAAGCAGGCUUUUCACGCUUGAAUAUUCGUGCAUGGAAUAAUAAUCUAGGACUUCGGUCAUAUUCUGUUGGUUUCUGUAACUGAAGUAAUGAUUGAUAGGGAUAGUUGGGGGUGCUAGUAUUGAGCGGCCAGAGGUGAAAUUCUUGGAUUCGCUCAAGACUAACUUAUGCGAAAGCAUUCACCAAGGAUGUCUUCAUCG
rnacentral:rRNA from 1 species